CGGAUUAACUGACCCCUUUGACAAGUUUAUGGAGCUGCCAUCUCUCUGCUUGCUGUACUUUCCAUUUCUGAGAGGAGAAAGUGGUGUAUGAGAUUAGAGGAAAAUGCCUCGGACAAAGCAGAUACAUCCCAGAAAUCUGAGAGACAAAAUUGAAGAAGCACAAAAACAACUUAAUGGAACGGAAGACCAACAGAGAGAAAUCACUGAUGCUGGUACUAGAGGAACACAAGAUACAAUUAAAGGUGUGAAAAGAAAAAAGAUUGUGACUGAAAACCAUCUAAAAAAAAUACCAAAAUCGCCUUUGAGGAGCCCCGCUGAAGCCAAGGUUAAGCAAAAUGUAGACCCUUCACCACUAAAAGCUCUUCCGGAUGCCUCUGAACACGCCACAGCACAGGAUCACCUACCCAUGCAGAAUGGAAACCAAUGUACCAAACAAAAUGGGGGAGCGCUUAGUAGUGAGAUAAGUGUUGAAACAACCAAAUCUGAGACAUCAGUGCAGACAAAGCUUUCAUUGACGCAUCAGUCCUUAGAUUUGGGUAAGCAGGCAGGGGAGGAUACUGAUGCAAACCAACUGAACUCACCAGAGAAGAAGUGUCUCUCAAACUCCUCAUCAAGUAAAACAAAGACUGACAGUAAUGAAUGUACUAAUUUUGUUGAUUGCAGUACGUCAUCCCCAUGUACACAUACUGCAUUCGAUGUCUUAUUAAAAGCUAUGGAGCCUGAACUGAACACCUUAGCACAAGAGUGCCCCCCUUAUGGGAUGCAGAUAGAGAAACUGAGACCAAAUAAAACUGUAAGCACCUCUUCUAGUGUCACGUCCAAUACAAUGAGCGUCCAAAAUCAGUCAGCUUUGUCACAGCAUGAGUUUGCAGCUGGACCUCACUAUUACCCACGUACGUUAAACAAUGUGCAUGUAGCAGCAACAGCCAAGACUGGACAAGCACAAGGCCAAUCAGUUUCUCAUUCACAAGACCUUAUUACUAAAACCAGUCAACAAAAUCACCAGGUUGUUAUGUGUCCAAGUUUCACUAGAUCGCUGGUGCAACAGCAGAGUCAAGAAAACCCCAAGCUCCAGCAGAUUUACAGCAUAGCAGUAACUUCAUCUGUCGUUCACACCUCAUCUUCUACUGUAACUCAGGUUUUUCCUCAAAACCAGUUAGUAGCUAGUUCAUCUUCACCUUUGUCAAUUAGCACAUCGAGUUCAACACACUUGUCUAUAGGUCCCAUGUAUAAUUCAGCCCAGAUAGCAUCAGUUGUAAACCAUGGUGUAGAACAAAUAUGUAACCUCUUGAAAGACCAGAAGCCUAAAAAGCUAGGGAAAUAUGUCUGUGAAUAUUGUAAUCGGGCCUGUGCCAAGCCCAGUGUUCUCCAAAAGCACAUUCGAUCCCAUACUGGAGAGCGACCGUAUCCUUGUGUGACAUGUGGGUUUUCAUUUAAAACCAAAAGCAAUCUGUACAAGCACAAAAAAUCUCAUGCACAUGCUAUCAAACUUGGACUUGUCCUACAACCAGAUUCGGGUGGCCUCUUCUUAUCUCAUGACUCGGACAAAGCACUUAGCAUUCAUUCAGAUGUGGAAGAAAGUGGCGAAAGUGAAGAUGAAGGCACUGCUGAUGAAAGACAAGAUGAUCAAGAACUGGAACCCACACAAAUAAUGAAAGUCAUUUCAAGUGCAGAAAUGUUGCGAAAAGCAAGCCCUGUUCCAUUAAGCAACCCAGAUUGUAUACCAGGUGACACUUCAUUACAUGAUACAGAACCUCAAGUAAGGGCAGCUUUGCCAAAAGUAGUCGUUCAUCCUGUAAAUGUUUCCCCAUUAAGGGCCGAUAGCCCAAAAGUAACAGAACCAGCACCCGAGCUUGCUGCAGCACAGAGAAAAGGAGAUUUUAAAGUGACAACUCUUCAGUCAAAUUUAUCACAUACAGCCUCAUUCAAGGAGAAUGACAUAAAGCAACACCAGAAAGUAGAAAUGGGCCUAUUAGAGGAACAGCUAGGAUCUGCAGUAGGAGCAGUGCAUGCUCAGCUCCAGAGACAACAGGCAACCGAUGGUUCCCAAGAUCAGCAGGGAAAAUGUCUUUUGAGUCCUAGAAGUUUAGGUAGUACUGAUUCUGGUUAUUUCUCUCGUUCUGAAAGUGCCGAUCAAACCAUGAGCCCACCAGCUCCUUUCGUAAGAGGAUUGUUGACCUCUGAGAAAGACCCCAAUAAAAACCUGCCCUGUGUGCCACGAGCAAGUGGCGUGGUAGCAUCAGUAGUACAAACUGUUUGUGCCGAAAAAAAUCUGAUUCUCUCUGGCCAAAUGCGACCUCCCAUGGCAACAAAAACUCUUGAGGAGCGUAUCUCAAAACUAAUUUCAGAUAACGAAGCUGUUGUGGAUGACAAACAGUUAGAUAGUGUGAAACCAAGAAGAACAUCUCUUUCGAGAAGAGGAAGCAUAGAUUCACCAAAAUCCUACAUAUUUAAGGAUUCUUUCCAGUUUGAUCUAAAGCCCAUGGGAAGAAGAACUAGCUCAAGCUCUGAUAUACCAAAGUCUCCUUUCACACCCACUGAGAAAUCGAAGCAAGUUUUUCUUCUUUCUGUACCGUCCCUUGACUGUUUACCUAUAACACGAAGUAAUUCCAUGCCUACUACCAGUUACUCAGCAGUACCUCCAAAUAUAAUACCUCCCUCUCAUCCUCUUCGAGGAAGUCAGUCAUUUGAUGAUAAAAUUGGCUCUUUAUAUGAUGAUGUUUUUGUAUCAGGACCUGCUACUCCGCUGAACCAAGGCGGACAUCCUCGGACACUUGUGAGACAAGCAGCAAUAGAAGAUUCUUCUACUGGUGAAAGCCAGGUUCUUGGACCGGUGCGAUCUAUAGAAGAAAGUUAUCUGGGAUGUAAUUUAUCAAAUGAAUCUUUAUUGCAAAGGAGCAAGUCCCUGGCACAGGGAUCAAAUUUAGAAAAAACAAAGAAGUCCCCUCAGGUGCGAGGAACAAUGUUUGAGUGUGAAACCUGCAGAAACAGAUACAGAAAACUGGAAAAUUUUGAAAACCACAAGAAAUUUUAUUGUUCAGAAUUGCAUGGACCUAAAACUAAAGCAGCAAUCCGAGAGCCUGAACAUAAAACUGUUCCAAACAGUACACAGCCUCAAAUUCUACACUACAGAGUCACUACUUCAACUGGUGUCUGGGAGCAGACACCCCAGAUAAGAAAAAGAAGGAAAAUGAAAAGUGUUGGCGAUGAUGAUGACCCACAACAAAAUGAUACGAGUAUACCAUCAAAGAACACAGAAGGCCAAAGCAAGCCAGCAAAUUCUUCCAGUCUCUCAAAACACAGUGCAACAGCAGUGGUAGGAUCACAACAGCCAAGCAACCUUCUACUUCAGAGUUCCCAAAUUCAGCUUGUGGCUCGAGGCACAGAUCAGACUACUGAGCCAAAGAUGGCUCCACUCAUUGAAAAGCAGGCAAGUUCAGCUGUGCAAGAAAAGGUGGAGUUGAAAAGACAAGGGACUGGCAUUUCAGUAAUACAGCACACCAAUUCACUGAGCAGAAAUAGUUCAUUUGAGAAAUCGGAAUCAUUUGAAAGAGUAUCACCAGUUUCUUCUCAAGAGCCCAACAAGGUUGCAAAGCACCGCUCUUUGAACACAGUUGUAAUCCAAGAGGAUAGGCACUCUCAUCUAAAUACUCCCCAGCAUCACCAACCCCUGUCAUCAGAAGCACCUAGAGGGGAAAUUCAGGGAAGCCAAAUAGUUUCUAAUGAGAGAAGUGUACCUCUUCAGCCAUCAAGACUUGUUCGCCAGCAUAACAUCCAGGUUCCUGAAAUACUGGUCACAGAAGAACCAGACAGAGACCAAGAAAACCAAUGCAGCGAUCAGGAAAAGACAGAAAAGUUUAAUUGGCCACAGCGCAGUGAAACACUGUCAAAAUUGCCAACAGAAAAGCUUCCACCAAAGAAGAAAAGAAUUCGCUUGGCUGAAAUGGAGCAUUCAUCCGCUGAAUCAAGCGUUGACUCCACGCUUUCCAGAAGCUUAAGUCGGGAGAGUAGCUUAUCUCAUGCCUCCAGUUUCUCAGCUUCACUCGAUAAAGAUGAAGCUUUGAAGACUGAGAACGCUUCCAAAGCAGAGACUGUCAGUAAGUCGUCAGAAUUCCUCAUGAUUCCUGCUGGCUCGCAUGCACUAGCUGUGCCUGGACCGCAUUACCGGGAAAUGAGACGUGCUGCCUCGGAGCAAAUCAGCUGCACGCAGCCGUCAAUGGAGGUUGUGGACUACAGGAGUAAGUCUUUCGACUGUGGAAGCAUGUCUCCAUCAAAACCUGCCUCACCUGUAGAGGUAGCUGCCCCAAAAGUGUCAUCUGCAAAUGGAGUUACUGGACAUGUUACUGGACAUGUGCCUCUGCUAGAAAGGAGGAGGGGGCCAUUUGUGAGACAAAUAUCUUUAAAUAUUGCUCCAGAAAAUCAUCAGACUCAAGUUAAAUCGACUUCUUCAUUUCAGACAGCUCAUGCUACAGAUGUGCCCACAGUGCCAUUGCACAGGCUGCAGACGUCCAGCAAAUCUUCGGUGGAGUUUCCUUCAAGUACUCAGCAUUCACAGACUCACUCCAGGCCUCAAUUGACAAUUCAGAAUUGUAAUCCUGUUAGCCUGUCUUCAGUUCAGCAGCCUCUAGAUCAUGUGUUGAAUAGUCAAGGACAGCCAUCCUCAACUCACCAGCUUUCCCAGACAUCUACUAAAACAUCAGCCCAAGGAGAACAAGGGAGCACAUACGCACUUUCUUGUCAUUCCGAUGAAAAAAAGGAUUGUUUUGCUCCAAAGUAUCAACUUCAAGUUAAAACAUUGCAUAUAGGUCAGCCAUACACUUCUAAAUUGCUAAAAAAUACUCUAUCAACUCAGACUGUUCCAAGUCAAGCUGGAGUAGACCAGAAUACAUCCUCCUUUGAAUUGCAGACUAAACUGGCUGACAUGUCUAAUCCAUACCCUGUGCCUCCUCUAAAGCAAAUUGUCCCUAAUAACUGCAGCAGUCAAAUACAUCAGAUUUCUCCUUUUGUGGUUCCCGUCCGUAUUCACAGCAGCAUGCCAUCUUAUGGCUUUGCAACUGUUACACCCCUUCCUCACAUUUUUGUGACCCAGGAUCAGGUAAAUCAAUCUGUCUGCAAAACAAAUGUUGUGACAGUGCCAAUGCUUGAAGGCAAAACUCAGCUGCCAAAACCUCACAAAGAUCAUCAGAGGACUUUGCCAAAUUUAUUUGAAUUUGAAAAUUCACAGCUAGAAAGUGGAAUCAGAAAUUCACCUUUGUCGAGCUCUUUGAAUAUUAUUCAGAAAGUGCCAGUUAGUGGACUCUUCCCUCAACCAGAAGCUACAGCUUCAAGUAAGCGAAUGCUUUCCCCAGCCAACAGUUUAGAUAUUGCCAUGGAAAAACAACAAAAACGUGUUAAAGAUGAGAGUGGAGCUGCCUGCAUGACAGAUGCUAGACCACUGCAUUCACUGAACGUUAGAUCUAAUGACCCUGCCAGUAAGCAAAAGAAACCAGUUUUGGUAAGACAGGUUUGCACCACAGAGCCUCUUGAAAAUCACCUCUUAGAUCCUGAUGGUGUUGCACAGCAUGAAAAAAGCAUCAAAGCUACUACUUCAGACCUGCUGUUGCCUGACCGUCAUUCAGUUGACACUGGGGUUUCAGAAACCCUAAAGGAGUUACCAGAAUCAGAAGACCUUAAGUCGUCAGCAUUGCCAGUGUUUGUAGUUAGAAAACCAUCUGAAUUGUCUCCAGUGAAUAAUCAGAGUUCUCUUCUCAAUGCUGUAAGUAGCAGUCAAGAAAGAAAGUCCCCAAGUAACAGUAAUGAGAGCAAGCACAUCAAUAGCCAGGGCCAAGCAAAGCCUGUAACUACACUGACUGCAAUGAAUGCAGGAGAAAUGCAGAGGUUGUCAUUUCCAAGCCUCAAGACCACAACAAGUUUUACCUGGUGUUAUCUCUUGAAGAGAAAACCACUGCAUCUGCUGCAAAAUGAUCAGAAAAUCUCAGCCUAUUCUACAUGGACCAUUAGUCCCAACAAUCCCAAUCCACUUGGGUUGUCGACAAAGGUAGCUCUCUCCCUCCUCAAUUCAAAACAAAAAGUUGAAAAACCCCUGUACACUCAAGCAAGAACUACUCAUCCCAGAUCUGAUGUACUUGUCUAUUCAAGCAAGUGGAAGAGCAGCUUAACCAAGCGAGCAUUAAAUAGAAAAAAAAUGUCUGCAACUGAAUUCAGCAAUAAGGAAAACUCUGAAUCAAGCACUGAGCAUGAUAAAGAAAAUUCCUUUAUCAAAACUGAACCAAGAAGAGUUAAAAUAUUUGAUGGAGGGUACAAGUCAAAUGAAGACUAUGUGUAUGUUCGGGGGAGAGGAAGAGGAAAGUAUAUCUGUGAAGAAUGUGGAAUACGUUGCAAGAAACCCAGCAUGCUGAAGAAGCAUAUUCGCACUCAUACAGAUGUCCGUCCUUACCACUGCAAUUACUGCAACUUUUCUUUCAAAACUAAAGGUAAUUUAACAAAACAUAUGAAGUCAAAGGCACAUAGCAAGAAAUGCAUGGAUUUGGGAGUCUCGGUAGGCUUAAUAGAUGACCAGGAUGGAGAGGAAGAAUUUGGUGAGAAGCAAAGAUUCGGCUACGACCGGUCGGGAUAUGAUGUGGAGGAGUCUGAUGGUGCGGAUGAAGAUGAAAAUGACAAUGAAGAUGAUGAUGAAGACAGCCAGGCUGAGUCAGUCCUAUCCACCACCCCCUCAGUGACAGCCAGCCCCCAGCAUCACCCCUCUCGACACAGCCUGCAAGAUGCUGCCAGCACUGAUGAAGACAUCAGACUUCCAGACUGUUUUGCCGGGGUUCACACAGACUCUAUGGAUGGUCUGCCAAAAGCUCUGCUGACGAAGAUGACGGUCCUUAGCACGGUGCAGUCGGUUAGCAGGACCUCCAAGUCACCAGCAGAAUUCACCCAUCAGGAAGCACAUGAGGAUAAAGCCCAGGAGAGAGGAGCAGGUCCCCGUGGUGCUAGUGCAGCACUGGUGGACGUCGCUCCUACAUCUCCAGGUCGCCAGAUGUCUGUGGAUUACCCCGAUCCAGAAGCGGCCUUGGGCCGCUCCUUAAUAUCAACUGCAACUCUUACAAAGAGCACGCCUUCUGUCAGCUCUCCCUCCCCACCAGUGGACCGCAGCAUGCAGACGACAGCACCGCCACCCUAUGCCGAAAUCCCAGAGGAGAAGCUGGCCGGGUGCCCGCAGCGCGCCGCCGAGCCGAGUGCUCCCCAGACUCACCUCUUCAGCCACCUCCCCCUGCACUCGCAGCGGCAAGCCAAGGCACCCUACGGCACGGUACCGGUGGGGGGGAUUCAGGUGGUCCCCGCCGGCCUGGCCACCUACUCCACCUUCGUUCCCAUCCAGGCGGGGCCGGUGCAGCUCACCAUCCCUGCCGUCAGCGUGAUUCACAGAACUACCAGCGCCCUCGGGGAGACGGGCAGCACGGCCGCCGGUGCCACUGCAAAUCCCAUGGGAGUCGCCGAGGUGAACAGCGUCGUGCCGUGCAUUCCCAUAGGCCAGGUGAGCGUGCCGGGCAUCCAGGGACUCGGCACGCCUGGCCUGCAGCCUCUGCCGCCGCUGGGCAUGGAGACGGUGAACAUCUUGGGCCUGGCAAACACAAACAUCGCCCCGCAGAUGCGCCCUUCGGGAAUUACCCUGAAUGCCGUGGGCCUCCAGGUUUUGACCGCCGGCGCGGCCCCGCAGGGCAACCCCAGCCCGCAGGCCCACAUUCCCGGCUUGCAGAUACUGAACAUCGCCCUGCCGACCCUCAUCCCUUCCGUCAGCCCCGUCGGCGCCGAGGGGCCAGGAGCCUCGGAGGUGCCCACCUCGAGCGGCAAGGCCUGCGAGGCUCAGCCGGAGCCGGCUCCUGUCAGCUUCCCUGCGGCUGAGGUCAGCCAGGCCAGCAGGGCCGCUUCUCCUCAGGCAGCGGCCGGCGGCCAGCGGUACGGUGGGAAGAGCCAUGCCGAGCCCGCCCCGCUGACCGACUACGAGCGACCCAACGGUCCGGGGAAAGCAGAUCCCGAAAAAACUGACCUCGCAAACCCCUCCAAGCCAAAGCGCGACAUCCCUUCCCUCCAGGCGAGGAGGGCUACCCCAGCAGAGUCCCGCUCCAAGGCGAAUUCCGACGCAUUAACCAAGUCCCCGGUCCACCGAACUGUCUCCCCGGACAGACAGGUGUUUUAAAGCAUCAAGGUCAAAAUACGGAAGUGGUAUCUUCAAGAAUAAGAAUGACAAGACAACAGAUAUGUCAUAAAGAGAAAUGUUGAGACAUGUGUCACUUGUGUUUCAGAGCAAGAGCUCGCACACCUAAUGAUGAUUAAUUCCGCUGGACUGGGUAACUGGCUCCCCUGUGGAUAUCCUGUUUUCCUGUGAAUCAUCAUUCCUCCUUGAGACAUCCUCCAACUCAGAUCAAAGAUUCAGAAUUUAUUAGAUAUGAAGACAUCAGACAGCUCAAGCAGAUUAGAAAAGACACACAAAGAAAUGCAUCCCACCUUCUCCCGCCCGUCCUGCUGAAAACUGACAUGGUGACACAAUCCUAAAUACUUGUUAUACAAGAAACAGUAGAAAGACAAAAAGAAGAAAAAAUGAAAGAGACUUUUGAAAUUUAGUUUACCCAGAGUCUUCUACAAAUUAAAUUUUCUAAGUAUUUGCACUUUUGUACUUACUUACUUCUCCCCUGCAGUUGGAAACUUUUCAGGCUAGAUCUCCAUCUGAUGGAAAUGACAUCCAUAAGCUUCAGCAAGAGCUGCGCCAACAGCAUCAGUGGAGGACUUGGUACUGUCCAUUUAAGUAUUGAGCCUUGCCUACAAACACACAAAUUAAAGGAACAUAAAGGUCUGUUUUUUCAAGUCUAUGCAGUCUCUUGUGUUCUUGAUGGUUUUAUUCAUUUUUCCAUUUAACAAUAUGAAGAACUGAAAAAGUUCUGUACCAGUGAAAUGCCAAAACCUAAGGUCAUAAGGUCAGACUAGAUUAUCUUAAUAGUCUCUUCUCCCCUUGCAAUCUUUGAACACAGGUUUUAUCGGAUAGAGCAGUUAAAGUCUUUAUUUCAGCAGUGUUUGAUCUUCAGGAUUGCACAAAUAACUCGCCUUUUUUAGAAUCUGAACUUUUUUUAAAAAUAGAAUUUUAAACUCUCCUUUUAAUGGAUGCCUUUUAAUCCUUAAGAACAAGAGCUGUGUUUGAUCUAAGACAAUGGACAAUGUGUUUGGAUAGUCUGAGAGAACAUUUUUAUGGGAGUGUUUGAACAAUAUAUUGUGUUUUUUCAUUAAGGACUACAGGACUAUCCUUUUUUUUCUGUCAUUAAACUCAUAUAAAAGAAAGAUAAAAUGUGCAGCUCGUACACCUUAAAGUGGACUGCAUCAGGCUUUUAGUCCCGGUCUUCUAAAUCUUCUGUUAGCCUUCUGCACUUGGAAGGGAAAAAGAAACACUUUUAACCCUACACACUGUGAACACUCAUUUGAAGGCAAUGGAGGAAAGAAUACC